rnacentral:tRNA from 1 species
GGUGGCUCGGUGGUAGAGUGCUUGUCUUGCAUACAUGAAGCCUUGGGUUCGAUUCCUCAACACCA